GUGAAGAGGAGCCUCAUGCCGGAAGCAAUGUCCUGGCUAGCCUUUGUGUUCCUUGAUGAGGAUGGAACCUGCCUCCCAUCAUUCGCAAGCUAAGUUGGGGGGCAAGUGCUAUGUUUGCUUUUGGGUUUUGAAUGCACACAUAGGGCGAGGGUCUGUGCUUUUAAGUCAUUGCAGUGGAUGGGGCCUUUUAGGAUUGAUCACGGUCAGACAGUGUGUGGGUGUGGGGGGUGGGAUUCUGUCAGGUACAGCUUGAGCAUGUGCCAGGCAGGGCAGUUCCAGCUUGGUGUCUGUGGUCUGUGUUGUCUGUGCUGUGCUGUUGCUCAUGGUGCUUGGCAGGCCCUGGGGAAGCCAUCCUGAGGGCGUUGAACCCUUGACCUCACUGGAAUAAUGUUGAUGCUCAAUUGGAAGCUGAGCAUUUCUUGUCUUGCAGUGGGAGCCUAAAGAGAUCAUUUCUUCUGUGCAUGUAAUUUUUUUUGCAUCAAAUGUUUCUUGAUGUGAUCAUGAUAUGUUACGCGCUCCUCAGGUCUUGAUAUCCUCAUUGCCUUCUUCCACUGGACAGAUUAGAUGGGCAACUUGGUAGCCACACCAAAGGUCCUAAAUGUUUGUUUCAUCAUCAUAGGGCUGAUCUGAGCGCUUCUUGACUGGCAGUCGCAGCUUAAAGCGCAGAUGUGUUUCAGGUCUUGUGCAUCAUAUUCAGUUUCAGAUCGCAUCUGUUUCCAUCCUCACUCUUGCAGAAGUCAUCUGGGUCGCAUCAGGAGCUCUUGCUUGGGAGUUCAUUUCCGAAGCAUUUUUCUUAUGGGGUUUGCACUCCCCAUCCUUCCGGUCUCUUGUCUUAAAGGCAGGCUUUUUAUGCCUCCGUCAUCCCAGUUCUGGCAGUUGCUUCCAGUCGCAUGUUGUGACAUUUGAGUCUCUCCUUGGGUCUGCUGCAGAGCACCUGUUCUGACUUGCUGUCGCUGUAGGGCUUCCCUCUGGGAGUCAUUAUUUUUUUUUUGCGCCUUGUGUUCUGUGUUUUGUUCGUAAUGUUUGUAGCGUGCCUGUGUGUGUGUUUGGCCUGGAGCUGUCCUGCCUGGCAGUUAGUGAUGGUAGCUAACGUGGCGGUCCAUCGGUGUACUAAUGCAUUGUCCGGACUGUUUUGGCAAAGACAUCCAGUCUGCCUCUGGGCACGUACUGAAGGGCAGCUGGCACAGAGUCAUCUCAGUGGUGUCUGGCAGAUGUGGAGGGGGAGACCUGAGCUGCUUGCGAGCAGCUGUUUGCAUAGUGCUUGAACAGUGCUAGAGGAGAGGUCUGUCGUUGAAUCUUGAAGGCUCGCAGAUGUGGAGCAUGUUUUUUUUUUUUUUUUUUUCCAGUCCUAGAUAAACUGUACGAGGAACCGGUCAAAGGAAAGAGCUCCUUCUGGAGCUGUCAAGCUCUCAUUUGGCAGCUCGGUGACUGGCUUGGUCUACUUCUGAGGUGCCGAGGCAAGUUGUCUGCCGUUUUGAAACACUUAAACGCAGUGUACAACCUGGGACGUCACACCCAGAGCUGCCUCUGGCAAGAGGUGUUGUAGCUGGCUUAAGAGGGUAGAUGGAAGCAUCUGCCUCGGGGUGUCUCGCAGAGGUUCAAAGGAGCAAACUGCAUUCUGAAGAGCUGCGUGCCAUGGCAGGCUCUCCACACAAGUGGCUGAGGACUUGAGAUGAGACUGGAGAGUGACAAGGAGCAGCACGUGCAGGGAUGGUAUCCCAGCGCUGCGGUUGCUUUCUCUUCU